UACGUAGGUGGCAAGCGUUGUCCGGAUUUACUGGGCGUAAAGAGCGCGCAGGCGGUCGUUCAAGUCGCGUGUGAAAGCCCCCGGCUCAACUGGGGAGGGUCACGCGAUACUGAUCGACUGGAAGGCAGGAGAGGGUAGUGGAAUUCCCGGUGUAGCGGUGGAAUGCGUAGAGAUCGGGAAGAACAUCGGUGGCGAAGGCGGUCUGCUGGGCCGUUGCUGACGCUGAGGCGCGACAGCGUGGGGAGCAAACAGG
rnacentral:rRNA from 1 species